ACAUAGAAUCACGACUGGCGGAAAGCGGAGGUCGAUUAAUGUAUUGAUUUUCGUGGCAGGAUUACCUGCAGGGAGUGAUUGGUUAAGACAUGCCGACCGCCUGGGCGAUGCUU
rnacentral:ncRNA from 2 species